AUCUUCAUAUGCGAGGCGUCUUGAGCCGGAAAGGAGUCAGUUCGUGAGUGAAGCUAGUACAAGCAAGAUGAAAACCGCGGUGUUGUUGGUACUGCUCCUUUCUUUGGUUUUGGUCGAAGGAGGGAUUUAUCAAAAAAUAGCUAAAACUCCAAAGCCGGCAGCAGAAAUCUUGAAGAUGAACGACCGCAGAAGCUUUAAAGAGUCUCAACAGGUGGUUCAGUACCGAAGAGACAUCUGCUUACAGGCCCGUGAGCUGGGAUGUGAGGUGGAACGAAAGAAAUGAAUUGACUUGAACUGAAGACAGCACAGCAUACCAUAAUUUAACGUUCGACUGCAUUAUGAAAUGAUUAAAUUGAAGUAUAGAUUGUUUUUGUUGUAAAAAUAAAUUGCUUUAAUCCAAAAGAGGUUGUGUUCUUUACGAUGAAUAUAUAUUGGUUACAAUGUUUUUAAAAUAAAGUUUGUGGAUGAUAUGAUGGAAAAA